rnacentral:rRNA from 1 species
AUUGAACGCUGGCGGCAGGCCUAACACACGCAAGACGGGCGGAGCGGCGGACGGGUGAGUAAUGCCUCGGAAUUUGCCUGGUAGUGGGGGACAACGUGCGGAAACGGGCGCUAAUACCGCAUACUAUUAGAUGAGCCUAGGUCUGAUUAGCUAGUGGGUGGGGUAAAGGCCUAACAAGGCGACGACCCGUAACUGGUCUGAGAGGAUGAUCAUUCACACUGGAACUGCGACACGGUCCAGCAUCCUACGGGAGGCAGCGGUGGGGAGGAUUGGACAAUGGGCGAAAGCCUGAUCCAGCCAUGCCGCGUGUGUGAAGAAGGUCGUCGGAUUGUACAGCACUUGAAGUUGGGAGGCGUUACCAACAGGAUAAGCACCGGCUAACUUCGUGCCAGCAGCCGCGGUAAUAC